UCGAAGAUUAGAUAGGGGUUCUCUCGCUCUAUGAUGUCCGGCUUGGGAUUCCCCUCAGAAUCAAACUGAGGACCAGCAGCGCUAGGGCUGUGGCACAGCUGCCCACAAUUGCAGGCACUGCCCACAGAGGUCAAAGACCAAGAGUUACCACGAGAUCAAAUUUAUUUUAUGAACAUCAGAAAGAACAAAAUCAAGUCCAAUUGCUACAACUACAAGACCAUGGGGUGUGCAAUCAUUGACCAUAUGCCUUCCAAACAGCCAGCCACCUUCCUUGGUAGCACUAAGUUGGUUUGAGAUGAAAAGUCAGAAUUCUCCCGGAUCUUUACUGAAGAUGCCCUCCAGAUUACUUUGGGUCCAUUUACUUGGAUGUCACAUCUUGGCCAUCCCACUAAGACAAUAGCUUUCCAUAAUGCAGUGCUUUUCUGAUACUGGCUGCUAACACCUCAUCUUGGGAGUCCUCCCCAGUUCAUCCUCAUAAACAGCCUGAAAGAUGAUCAAUACUACAGCAUGCUUAACUGCAAUACUCAUUAAAUUCUUACUUACUCUUCACUGUUCUGCACGUGAAAUAAAUAAGUCCACUCUCUCCAGGACAGCACAGUGAUGCUUCCAUUCUUUGAGAUCCGGAAGGUAUGCCAAUGGCCAUCUGCAAUGUAUGCUUCUGGGAUGAUUCGCUCCACCUUCCCAGCAACACCUGCAUCCGAUGUAAAGUGCACUUUGCCAUUCUUAAUCUGGAAGAUGCAUUAAAAAAAAAAAACCAUACACGGGUCAAACAUGAUAUCCUUAAAUAUGAAAAUGAUGGAUUUAAAAUAUUUACUACCCUGAAGGAGUUGG
rnacentral:lncRNA from 1 species